GAAUCUUGCACAAUGGGCGAAAGCCUGAUGCAGCGACGCCGCGUGGAGGAUGAAGGUUUUCGGAUUGUAAACUCCUGUUAAGUGGGAAGAAAAGUCUGUUCCUAAUAUGAGCAGAUUAUGACGGUACCAUUAGAGAACGCACCGGCUAACUUCGUGCCAGCAGCCGCGGUAAUACGAGGGGUGCGAGCGUUAUUCGGAAUCAUUGGGCGUACAGGGCGCGUAGACGGUGUAUUAAGUCAACUGUUAAAUUCCCCGGCCUAACUGGGGGCCAGCAGUAGAUACUGAUGUGCUAGAGGAUGGAAGAGAGAAGUGGAAUUCUCGGAGUAGCGGUAAAAUGCGUAGAUCUCGAGAGGAACACCGAUGGCGAAGGCAGCUUCUUGGUCCACUCCUGACGUUGAGGCGCGAAAGCGUGGGGAGCAAACAGG
rnacentral:rRNA from 1 species